rnacentral:rRNA from 1 species
GACGAACGCUGGCGGCGUGCUUAACACAUGCAAGUCGAACGAUGAUGCUCCAGCUUGCUGGGGUGGAUUAGUUGCGAACGGGUGAUUAACACUUGAGUAACCUGCCCCCUUCUUCGGGAUAAGCUUGGGAAACUGGGUCUAAUACUGGAUAUUCUUCAAUUGUCGCAUGGUGGUUGUGGUUAAGAUUUUUUGUUGGGGGAUGGGGUCGCGGCCUAUCAGCUUGUUGGUGGGGUGAUGGCCUACCAAGGCGUCGACGGGUAGCCGGCCUGAGAGGGUGACCGGCCAGACAGGGACUGAGAUACGGCCCAGACUGCGACGGGAGGCAGAAGUGGGGAAUAUGGAACAAUGGGGGAAAGCUUGAAGCAGCGACGACGCGUGAGGGAUGACGGCUUGCGGGUUGUAAACCUCUUUCGAUGGGGAACAAGGCCAUAUUUUGGUGUGGUUGAGGGUACCUGUAGAAGAAGCGCAGGCUAACUACGUG